AACAGUCAUACUGGUGGCAGGGGCCCAGACCAGUGCCUCUGGAUUGCUGGUUCAGGGGGCAUGACCCUGAGCAUUUGUGGAGAGGGGAGGGUGUGGUCAGCUGUUUCAUUUGGGGGCUCUCCUGACCCUUAGAAGACCGAGAUGUGCCCGACUGCACAGAGGACGAAGUUGAAGUCACUCUUCUAGAAACUGCCUGGUGCAGAUGCCGUGGUGACAGAUAUGAAAGGAUGGGCCUUUG
rnacentral:lncRNA from 1 species